ensembl:snRNA U6 U6 spliceosomal RNA
UCACUUUAGCAAUGCAUGUACUGAAAUUGGUGUGAUACAGAGAUUAGCAUGGCUCCUGUGCAUGGAUGAUACACAAAUUGAAGCAUUCCAUAUUUUU